CAAAAGCGUAUAUUUAAGUUGUUGCAGUUAAAAAGCUCGUAGUUGGAUUUCGGGUGGGACGCAGCGGUCUCGCAUUGCGUUUGUACUGCUGCAGCCCUCCUUCUUGCCGGGGGCGGCCUCUCGGACUUCACUGUCUGGGGGUCAGAAUCGGCGAUGUUACUUUGAGUAAAUUAGAGUGUUCAAAGCAAGCUUACGCUCUGAAUAUAAUAGCAUGGGAUAACACGACAGGACUCUGGCCUAUCGUGUUGGUCUAUAGGACCAGAGUAAUGAUUAAGAGGGACAGUCGGGGGCAUUCGUAUUCCGUUGUCAGAGGUGAAAUUCUUGGAUUUACGGAAGACGAACAUCUGCGAAAGCAUUUGCCAAGGAUGUUUUCAUUGA
rnacentral:rRNA from 1 species